CUCUGUAUGAAUGUACUUCUUAAAUGAAGGCAAGUGUUUGUCCUUUUUUGUUCCUCAGUUACAGUACGUGAUAUCUUGAUAUCAGGCGGUCAACACUGGGGGAAGACAAGAAGCAGACGUACUUCCAAGAGGGAGCUGCAGUGAGGACACAGCCAGGUCACUGAGAGAGUUCCUGAGAGAAGAAAGCUCCUGCAAGAUGUGACCAUCCCCCCCACCAGUUGAAGAGCCCCCCAGGCGGCUCGAUGCACCGGCGGCACCCUGCUCCAGGGCCGGGCCCCCAUGCACCCACCCGCCCACAACCCCGGCAACACACCAACCAGGACCCGAGCCCCCGAGGCCCGGCCCGGGCCCCAGCCCAGAGACGGAGCGCCCCCAGAACCUCACGCCCAUCCCGGACCCACCCAGGGGCAGCCAGGUUGCCAGGAGGCGCUGGAAGGUUUCCCUAAUAGUUCCUGGUGAA
ensembl:lncRNA